AUCUCAUUGUCUCUCCAUAUUGUAUGUUUAUGUGAUCAUAGGUUUACAUGUAUUUAUAUGUUAUUUGCAUGUAACUUUUAACUUUAUAGUUUUCAAAUACCGGUAUGUUGUAUAAAGUUCUGUAGAUUUAAUUCAAAUUUACAAAGUUACAGUAGCUUAAUUAUACUGUUAAUUGCUAUUUUGACCAAAUUAUAUAUUAGUACAUAUAUUAAAAUCUAUAUACUAGACGUUUUCCUCUUCUUUCUACAAUACCUGAUGUGAAUUUACAUGUACCAGUAAAUAUGUGAAUUAUUAGAAAACUCCCAAUAUUUCUUGUUCUUUUGAUAAAAUUUUCAAAAUUGUACCUGUAGAAGAAUAAAUGACUUGAUAUUAUGUACUCAUAAUUUCAUACCAUUAAAUUAAAUUUGUAUGUACAUGUAUGUAUAUUAUUGAUAAAUCUUGAUUAAUAUUUUAUAGAAAUUUAAUUAUUGACCUGUAUUUAGAUUUUUUAAUAAAUAUAUCAAA
rnacentral:misc_RNA from 1 species